GUGAGGAAUUUUCCGCAAUGGGCGAAAGCCUGACGGAGCAAUGCCGCGUGAAGGAUGAAGGCCUAUGGGUUGUAAACUUCUUUUCUCAGAAAAGAAUUAUGACGGUAUCUGAGGAAUAAGCAUCGGCUAACUCUGUGCCAGCAGCCGCGGUAAAACAGAGGAUGCAAGCGUUAUCCGGAAUGAUUGGGCGUAAAGCGUCUGUAGGUUGUUUAAAAAGUAUUCUGUCAAAGAUUAGGGCUUAACCCUAGAUAGGCAGAAUAAACUUUUAAGCUAGAGUUUGGUAGAGGCAGAGGGAAUUCCCGGUGGAGCGGUGAAAUGCGUAGAUAUCGGGAGGAACACCAAAGGCGAAGGCACUCUGCUGGGCCAAUACUAACACUGAGAGACGAAAGCGAGGGGAGCAAAUGGGAUUAGAAACCCUAGUAGUCC
rnacentral:rRNA from 1 species